AUCAAGGGGAAUUACCCACAGGGGAUCAGUCUAAUAUGUAGGACAUGAAACUGAGUUAAAUGAGAUGGGGUGUGUCCAACAUCAUUCCUGGCAUUUAGCCAGGUUUGGUUUCCCUAAAUAGUAACCAGAGAGACAGUGAAAAGCAUUAUGGGUAAUAUUAAUCAAUUAGGUAUUUCCUCCUAAGGAGUUAUUCUCAUAAUAAUACCGUUAAUACACUUAGUUUGAUUAUUUGAAAAUUAUAAAUCUAUGCACUUUUGGUUAAGUAAUCUCCAUUCUAAUAUAGUAAAUGGAGCACAUAUAUAUAGAGCACCAAUCACUUUGCAAGGGAAGUGAUGUAAUCACUUUUCCCUUUAUAAAGGGUGGUUAUCAGGUCCAAUGCCUCAUUAUACAGAGACUUGGCUGUCAGCACUGCACCACUGGAGGGUCUACCACGUGUUCUAAAUUGGUUAGACAUUAUACCCAUUUGAAUUGCCUUCACUCCUGAGUCUCUGAGUGUCAGGUUCAAGCUGCCGACCGACGAGGUUCCUUAUGCUUGCGAACCAGUUAGAUUCUAUACACAUAUGAAUCUUCCCCAUAUUCGAAUAUCUGAAUGUCAGACUCAAGCUGAUGAUAUAUGAGGUAUGGUCCUCGCUGUAUCAAUCAAGUCCCAUUGAAAUAUUGAAACGUUGUUCAUACAUCUUUGAAUGACCUUUUAUGUGCUGACAAUAUGUUCUGAAAUGAAGAGAUUUUACCCCUGAUGAAGUCUUGGAACAAGACGAAACGCGUUGGGUUAUUUAUCUAUCUAUUAUCUGAUGUUACCUCCGAAUCUACAAUAAGGAGAAGGAGGAAAUCGUAGUGAUAUAUCUACGCUUUUUCCUCAUCACUACAAACUGAUUGUUCAAAUUGUGCGACAAAUGUAAAUGUAUUAACUCUGUAUACUUAUGAACAUUUGUGUCGGGUUUAUAUGUUGUUUUAAUAAAUUUUUAUGUUAGUA